CUAAAUUAAUUUUGGGUUUUCCUUACCUACCUUUUGAACCCCACUAGAUUCCGCAUGGCUGCAUUCACAAGCACACGAACUUGGCCAUUCAAACGCAAUGAUCUUGGUACGGUAUUGAAAGAGGGCACAUUUGAACUACAAAAACUUACAUGGACCCCUUCUACCCCUGGGCAUAUUGCCCUACAGUUCCUAACUACCAAAGA
rnacentral:lncRNA from 1 species